GAUGAACGCUAGCGGGAGGCCUAACACAUGCAAGCCGAGCGGUAUUGUUUCUUCGGAAAUGAGAGAGCGGCGUACGGGUGCGUAACACGUGUGCAACCUGCCUUUAUCUGGGGGAUAGCCUUUCGAAAGGAAGAUUAAUACUCCAUAACAUAUUGAACGGCAUCGUUUAAUAUUGAAAGCUCCGGCGGAUAGAGAUGGGCACGAGCAAGAUUAGCUAGUGGGUGAGGUAACGGCUCACCAAGGCGAUGAUGGUUAGGGGGCCUGAGAGGGUGAUCUCCCACACUGGUACUGAGACACGGACCAGACUCCUACGGGAGGCAGCAGUGAGGAAUAUUGGACAAUGGGUGAAAGCCUGAUCCAGCCAUCCCGCGUGAAGGACGACUGCCCUAUGGGUUGUAAACUUCUUUUGUAUAGGGAUAAACCUACCCUCGUGAGGGUAGCUGAAGGUACUAUACGAAUAAGCACCGGCUAACUCCGUGCCAGCCGCCGCAGUAA
rnacentral:rRNA from 1 species